GACAGAGGGUGCAAACGUUGUUCGGAAUUACUGGGCGUAAAGCGCGCGUAGGUGGCAUGGUAAGUCGGGUGUGAAAUCCCGGGGCUCAACCCCGGAACUGCACUCGAUACUGCCGUGCUCGAGUACUGGAGAGGAGACUGGAAUUUACGGUGUAGCAGUGAAAUGCGUAGAUAUCGUAAGGAAGACCGGUGGCGAAGGCUAGUCUCUGGACAGUUACUGACACUGAGGCACGAAGGCCAGGGGAGCAAACGGG
rnacentral:rRNA from 1 species